CCGUUUUAAAUCUAACAGCCGUUUAGUAGACCUAUACUUUGACAAACGUUUCAGAAACCGGGCGUAAAUGUUGCGAACUUGA